UUGGCUUAAAUUAUAUGCGAAGAUCCAAAAUCUGGAACUACAGACAAAACCGAUGAGGAUGCAUUAACAAAAUUAUUUGGUAAUCCAAAAUAUGGGCGCUUAAUCGAACAAGGAAGGGGGGUAACAAGGUCAAAAUUAAUUGUUGUUAAUAUGUGUAAAGACAAGAUGACAUUGUUGGAAGAAGAAUAGCUAAAUAUGAAGAUUCAAAUUGCUGAAAUGUUGAAUCUACUUAAAAGACACUUGGGCGGUAGAGCAACAACAAGUGAGGAGCAGUCCCACAAUAUUCCACAUUCCAACAAUAUUCCUUCUCCAAAGAGUGUUGGAGUAUAAAAAGGGCCAUAACUUUACAGAAGCAAGGAAUGCUUGCUACUUGCUCGAUUGGUCAGAUGCAAUUAUUGUUGAAGGUCGUUGGGCUUCUAGUGAUCCUGACUUAGAGGUGCACGAAAUUCCUCUUGGACCAGAUUUUAUGUGUGUAUGGGUUGAUGUUGCUGUUGUACCUAAUGCUUAUUUAUUUCUUCCUAACUAUGUGAUUCUCACUAUACGAGAAGUUUUUGGUUCAACAGUUGCAUGGCCUUCUCAAAAGGUUAUUCCAAGAGGUAUUUAUUUGGUUAUUUGAUUAUAUAAAUGCUUGUUCAACAUUAACCGA